GCUUUACAAGGACUAAUCAAACCAUUCUCAAAUAAUUAUCAAGCGUUAGUUGAACAUUUUACUAAUUAACUUUUGAAAAAGAACAAGUAAUUCUCAGUUUGAAAAUUAGAGACAGAUCCCUCUAAGUAAUCUAGUUCUGAUAAAGAUUCAGGAUACACAGAAAGGAAAAAUGGCAGGACAAGAUUAGAGUCAAUCAAAAUGCGGAGGAGAUUCAUAGCAAUUAGCAUCAGCAUGAGAACAGGAAAUAAAGCAGAGUUUUUACUCGGUUUGCAUUCUGAAUGGCUCCCAGAAAGGAGUUUUCUUGCUGAAAAAAUUUCCAACCACCCUUGAAUCCAAAAUCUUUAGGGCUGCCUCCGAUUUGAUGCACCUUGGUGUCUUGUAUUGAUUAACAGAGGAUCCUUGAGAGAGGCAAAAAUCCAUGAGAGCAUCAAAUGUUCCAUGUUUCACCACCCUUAUCUCCAGGGGUCCAAUUGACUUGUCUUUCUUCCUGCACCUCCUAUAAACAGAAUCCAGAGAUUCUUCUACAGUGGAACAGCAUUGCUCCAUUAUUAUCGGAUCAAGCUCCGCUGGAUCAUUAUUUCCUCUCGUUAUGAGUUCCCAGAAAAGUACGUAAUGACCUGGGAUUGAGGAAGUGUCAGCAAAGCUGGUGUACUCUGUGAGAAGGAAACCAAGUGGCUCGAGAAGAAUCUUUGCUUGUGUCACUGCCUUUAAUAGGUCUUCUUCAUUAGUUUUGUCAGUAUCUAUGCUUAAAACCACAUUUCUCCGGUGAACAAAUCUGAAUUGGGGGGCAUUUUUGUGGAAGCCUGUCACCAUAAGAAUGUCUCCGACUCUGUAUCUGUAUAGGCCUGAAAACAAAUAAAAAUAAAAUACUUAUGAAGUAAGAAGCAGCAGCUUAUGACCAAUAUAAUUCUCUAAGGCUAUCUCCUAGUCUGAUGUACAUAACGGCAGCAAAUCUAAAAAAUAUUGAUUGAUAAGUUCUGGGAUUAAUCAGAAAAUAAUUACUUGUGGGGUGUAUGGAAUGUUGCAAGCAGAUGACAAAUUUGGGGCAUCACUCAUCUCUCACAGAUAGUAAAAACAUACCGGUAAAAGUAGUGACAACAAGCUCGUAGUAGUGACCAAGCUUCACAUCGACAAGAUCCACAGUUUCCAUUUGUUUAUUCUCCUUCUCAUCCUCCUUGUUUAUGCAAUUCUGAUCUGAAACACCAUUGCAUUGUAAAUCCUGUAUCACUUCUCCAUAGUCUCUCUCAACAGGUAGGAAUUCAAAGUAGGCCAUAUUAGGGAGGAGGGUGUAAGAGACAUCAGAAGGUGUGCUUAGCGGCUUAAAGUUGAUCCCAAAGUAACAUUCAGAAGACGCAUACAUGAUUGAAACUAAAGGGAGCCCACCACUGUAGAAUUCAAGAGUUGGGAUGUAUUGGGCCAUUGAACCUGUAACAAUGACUUCAAUGUACUUUGUUCUAGGCCAAAGUCUUUUAAUUAUCCCUUCCCACGUUCUUUCACUACAUUCAUACUCAAUCAAAUCGGCCAAUUCUGAAUUCGGAUUUUUCAAGAUUGAUGACACAGCGUUUCUGCAAUCGGGGUCAUUAAUCCAGUCACUGAUGCAACCUGUUCUUAUGUUAGAGCAUAAUUCUCUCCAGUAGUCCUCCAAGAAUUUGAUUGCGCGCAGGAAAGCAGAUGCAAAAAUUGCACCAACCCUUAAAACCUCAUCGCGCUGCACUAAACCACAUAGUAAUUGGCAGUACAUACUCUGCUUGUUAUCAGGACACAAGAUUGUCUCAUCAGGGCUUGUAUAAACGUUGUACCGGUUGAAAGGCCGGUUUCUGAAGUUGCUGCUUUUGUAGUAGCUGGUUAAAACAGGUCUAGCCGUCAAGCCAGAAGGGGUGCUAAUUUCAGGUUUGAUAAACAAAAGGUACAUUCCUUUUCCCUGGUCCAAGCCAUCUAGAUACUUAUUCAAUAUAGGCACAAGGAGGUUGUAGAAGAAUGUCUUCCUGUCCAAAUCUUCAGCAGUUGAAGGCAUCAUUUUCGGCAGUCCUCCUGAAGUUCCCGAGCUUGUGAGGAGCUCAGUGAUUGGCUGAGAUGAAAUGAUAGUUGAAGGCUCUCCAUUGGCAAUUCGCUCGAUGCAAGGCCUAAUAUCUUCAUAAUUUACAACCGGUACUCUCUUCUUGAAGUUCUCCUUAUCAGAAAGGCCAUGGAGGAAGCCCCUAAGAUAUUCUGUGUGCGCAUUUUUUUUUAGUAUCUCCUCUAACACCUGCUGUUGUAUUUGACAUGCAUUUGUUGUCAAGUCCUCCAAAACCGUCAAGCCUCGUUCAUUGUCAUUUGGAUCAUAGCUUGGCAACAUCUUUGGAAAAAUUGGAAGGCAAGUACUGAAAUUUAUGGUUUAGGCCUCAACAACAUGUCAUAUGAGCCUUCAAAUUUAAUAAAGAUUAACCUAAAAGCUGUUGGUAGCUUAUCCUGUCUUCCUACUUAGCUGAAUAAUGAAAAGCAGUCUUAGCAGCUAAGGGCUAAAGCAAAAGCGAAGAAAACUUAUUGAGCUAAAGAUAUAAGCAAAAGUUAAAAGGACUCUCCUCAAAGCAACUGGAAUUUGUUUCUCGGUAGCUGCUGGUAACAGGGGUGGAAAGCAAAUGAUUA
rnacentral:misc_RNA from 1 species